GCAAAGCGUCCUGGGGCUUGUAGUUUCCGCUGAGUGUGGGCUCCGCGGUCGCGGGUUUCGCUUCCCAGCUCUGCCCUCGCUUGCUGGCCCGUCUCCAGGGUCAGCGCGGGGCCACCAUCCAGCCGCUCGGGGCCCUCCCCAAGCAGCUGUGGAGGAUGCACUGAGCCUGCGCAGCCAUGGCCUCGGCAGGGGCGGAGAGGCGGCCGGGGGUCCAGGAGGCUACGGUCGUGGGGCAGGGACAGCUCGCGGAGGACCCCGGCAGCGCUGAGACCUCCGAGGUGUUCAGUGACGGAUCCCUAUGUCCUUUGCCCGACCAUGGUGACCGAUGGCCUGUGUGUCACCUCUAGUGUCCAGUGGCGGAAGAACAUUUCCUGGUGCCAGCCCAUGAGGCCCGCGGAACCCAGGGUGAAGACCAGCGCCCAGCAGGCGCAGCUUCGGAGCUGGAGCUCCAGGAGGAAGGACCCAAGCUGGGGGAGGAGAGGCCCAAGCCGGAAGCCGGGGCGCUAGAGGAGAGAGGCCCCAGGCCCGUGGUCUCCAUUGUGAGGCCCCGUCAUGGUCCAAAGAGAAAGCCUGUCAAGUCCCUCAGCCUCCCGGGCCUUCGUGCCCAUCCCAAGGCUGAAGCUGAGCUGCCACCCAGGCUGCCGCUGCAGGAGGAGGAGCCAGAGGGCGGCCAGAGUGAGCCCUCACCAUCUGCCAAACAGCACAAAAAAGCCAAGAAGCGCAAGAGCCUGGGGGCUCCCGUGCUCCACGCUGUGGCCAGCACGGUGUCUGCACCCUUAGAGACAUUGGGGCUGGAGCGUGAGUGGCAGUCCCUGGGCUGUUCCUUCUCCCUGUGGGGCCUGACAUGGCACAACCUGGCGUUCUAGCCUCUGCCCUGCCCUGGGUCUUUGCAGGAAAGGCCCAGCGCCUGCGGCCCCUGUACCAGUACAUCAACUAUUGCAACCCCGAGCUGAACCAGGCAGGGGAGGGGGACGGGGAGGCCGAGGUGGAGGCAGAGGCAGAGCUGGCCCUGGUUCCCAAGGAGGCAGGUGUGGAGCAACUGCAGGCCUUGCUGCCCUUGGCAGGUGAGCUGGGCCCAGGCCUCGCUUUGCCCUGUCCCAGUCCAUUAGUGACCCCCAUCCAUGCUCUGGCUCCCCUCGGAGAGGAGGCUGGAGAGGAGGCUGGGGGCUUGCCCAGCUUGGGGGUGAGUGACCACCACAAGGCUGAGGUGGAUAAGUCAACCCAGGUGGACAUCGACAAGAUGCUGAGUGUCUGCACUGCUCCGCUUGUCCCCCCGCUCUCUCCUCAGUACAAGUGACUGUCCCGCCCCACUGGUGGCUCCCCUCCUUCCAUGCCUGAAUUUGGCUUCAGGCUUCCUGUGGGCCUAGGCCCUCUGGUGGAGGGGGCAAAUUUGGCACCUGCCCCCACUUGGGACUUUGGGCUUGCUGAAAAUAAAUAUUUUUCUUUUUCAAAGA